rnacentral:rRNA from 1 species
GAUUGNGAAGGCAGCUUGCUGGACUGUAACUAACGCUGAGGCACGUAAGCGUGGGGAUCAAACAGGAUUAGAUACCCUGGUAGUCCACGCCGUAAACGAUGAAUGCUAGCUGUUAGCGAUAUACUGUUAGCGGCACAGAGAAAUCGUUAAGCAUUCCACCUGGGGAGUACGCCGGCAACGGUGAAACUCAAAGGAAUUGACGGGGGCCCGCACAAGCGGAGGAACAUGUGGUUUAAUUCGAUGAUACGCGAGGAACCUUACCUGGGCUUAAAUUGCAGUGGAAUAACGUGGAAACAUGUUAGCCUUCGGGCCGCUGUGAAGGUGCUGCAUGGUUGUCGUCAGCUCGUGCCGUGAGGUGUCGGCUUAAGUGCCAUAACGAGCGCAACCCUCAUCGAUAGUUACUAACAGGUUAAGCUGAGGACUCUAUCGAGACUGCCGACGUAAGUCGUGAGGAAGGUGGGGAUGACGUCAAAUCAGCACGGCCCUUACGUCCAGGGCUACACACGUGUUACAAUGGGGGGUACAAAGGGCAGCUACCUGGCGACAGGAUGCUAAUCUCAAAAACCUCUCUCAGUUCGGAUUGGAGUCUGCAACCCGACUCCAUGAAGCUGGAUUCGCUAGUAAUCGCGCAUCAGCCACGGCGCGGUGAAUACGUUCCCGGGCCUUGUACACACCGCCCGUCAAGCCAUGGGAGCCGGGGGGACCUGAAGUAUGCAACCGUAAGGAGCGUCCUAGGGUAAAACUGGUGACUGGGGCU